CCUACGGGAGGCAGCAGUGGGGAAUAUUGGACAAUGGGGGGAACCCUGAUCCAGCCAUGCCGCGUGUGUGAAGAAGGCCCUCGGGUUGUAAAGCACUUUCAGUGAGGAAGAACGCCUGGUGGUUAAUACCCAUCAGGAAAGACAUCACUCACAGAAGAAGCACCGGCUAACUCCGUGCCAGCAGCCGCGGUAAUACGGAGGGUGCGAGCGUUAAUCGGAAUUACUGGGCGUAAAGCGCGCGUAGGUGGCUUGAUAAGCCGGUUGUGAAAGCCCCGGGCUCAACCUGGGAACGGCAUCCGGAACUGUCAAGCUAGAGUGCAGGAGAGGAAGGUAGAAUUCCCGGUGUAGCGGUGAAAUGCGUAGAGAUCGGGAGGAAUACCAGUGGCGAAGGCGGCCUUCUGGACUGACACUGACACUGAGGUGCGAAAGCGUGGGUAGUAAACAGGAUUAGAUACCCUGGUAGUC
rnacentral:rRNA from 1 species